rnacentral:lncRNA from 1 species
GCCAUUUAAGUCACCGCGGAGGAAGAGUAAAAAAAAAGCGUUUGUUUUAUGAUACAGCUGGUACCGGAUGCGCCUCAGAGGUAUCUUUUAACCUUAAAAGACGGGCUGUUUUGCUGCAUAGCUGGAGCCCCAUAGAGGCUAUUACAAACGGGGCCACUCUCUAUUCACCGAGAGAGGGGAGAGCAGCGCUGGUGGAAGAGGCGGGAGGGGGGGAGGGGGGGGGGGGGGGGGUGCUGAGGAGGAGGGCGAGGGAUGAAGGGAGGAAGGAGGGAGUGUGGGAGAGGAGAAACGUGUAAUCACCCAAACAACCAUUUUUACCCAUUUCACCCCCUCUGGAUCUGUGGCGCAAGGUAAGAAAAAGGGGCUACUUGGCUUCUCCACUGGCCCUGUCUGCUUCACAAACUGCUCCGGCUUCACUUCUGUGAGAACUCCUCUCCUUUCCUCUCACACUCCGCAGUGCGCCGCCGGCUUAUGCGCGCCUCCGCUGCGGAUACGCCGACGUGAGGCCGGACCCCGCGGAAGACGCCGAGAGGAUGAAGACGGAAGUGAGGUUCGGCUCGAGACGAGCGCUCCCGCUCGCAACCGCCGGGACCUCGCUCCGUCAAAGCAAGAUCACAUCUCUUGCACAGGCUCAGAUUACUGGGUGCCUCGCGUGGCGGCCACGUCCGGAGCACAAGCCUGUCACCGGCUCAGUGGGGGCAAUAAUUGCUAUGAAAUGACGUUAUGGACAGCUGGAAGGUAAAUGAGGAUUCCUGUUUUACACUUAGUCGGAUUUCUCCUCACUCCCACCUUUUUUCUGCUCUCACACCACAGCUCUUUUUUUAUGAAUUUAUUGUCACAGAGAUUUUGCUUUCCGAUUCCAGAGAAUGAAGAAGCCAGUAUAUAUAUAUAUUUCUAUUCUGACCCAGGAGACAGAGAGAGGUGAUAGUCAACACAUCGCACACACUUUUACAUCACACAGUCAUUUUAAUUGUUUACCUUCUAUUUCUUCAUUUUGUAUUACAAUUUUUCUCAGUCGCCUUAGUACAAUUCUCAGAUCAGAAUUGAAGUUUGCAAACGUGUGUGCAUUUCUCAAAAGAAUUUGUACAAACAGCAAAACAC